rnacentral:rRNA from 1 species
GACGAACGCUGGCGGCGUGCUUAACACAUGCCAGUCGAACGAAGUGGCGAACGGGUGAGUAACGCGUAAUCAACCUGCUCUUCAGCGGGGGACAACAGUUGGAAACGACUGCUAAUACCGCAUACUGAAGGAGGGGAUUGCGUUUGAUUAGCUGUUUGGAGGGGUAACGGUCCACCAAGGCGAUGAUCAGUAGCCGUGCGGAGAGGAUGAGCGGCCGCAGUGGGACUGAGACACGGCCCAGAGUCCUACGGGAGGCAGCAGUGGGGAAUAUUGCACAAUGGGCGCAAGCCUGAUGCAGCCAUGCCGCGUGUAUGAAGAAGGCCCUAGGGUUGUAAAGAACUUUCAGUCGGGAGCGUGAACGACAGAAGAAGCACUGGCUAACUCCGUGCCGGCCGCCGCGGUAAUAC